CCUACGGGAGGCUGCAGUGAGGAAUAUUGGUCAAUGGGCGGGAGCCUGAACCAGCCAAGUCGCGUGAGGGAUGACGGCCCUAUGGGUUGUAAACCUCUUUUGCCGGGGAGCACAGUGCCGCACGUGUGCGGUUUGGAGAGUAACCGGCGAAAAAGCAUCGGCUAACUCCAUGCCAGCAGCCGCGGUAAUACGGAGGAUGCGAGCGUUAUCCGGAUUUCUUGGGUUUAAAGGGUGCGUAGGCGGACGCUUAAGUCAGCGGUAAAAUUGCGGGGCUAAACCUCGUCGAGCCGUUGACACUGGCAGUCUCGAGUUGGAGAGAAGUAUGCGGAAUGCGCGGUGUAGCGGUGAAAUGCAUAGAUAUCGCGCAGAACUCCGAUUGCGAAGGCAGCAUGCCGGCUCCACACUGACGCUGAGGCACGAAAGCGUGGGUAUCGAACAGGAUUAGAUACCCUAGUAGUC
rnacentral:rRNA from 1 species